CAGUCGAGCGGAACGAGUUAUCUGAACCUUCGGGGAACGAUAACGGCGUCGAGCGGCGGACGGGUGAGUAAUGCCUAGGAAAUUGCCCUGAUGUGGGGGAUAACCAUUGGAAACGAUGGCUAAUACCGCAUGAUGCCUACGGGCCAAAGAGGGGGACCUUCGGGCCUCUCGCGUCAGGAUAUGCCUAGGUGGGAUUAGCUAGUUGGUGAGGUAAGGGCUCACCAAGGCGACGAUCCCUAGCUGGUCUGAGAGGAUGAUCAGCCACACUGGAACUGAGACACGGUCCAGACUCCUACGGGAGGCAGCAGUGGGGAAUAUUGCACAAUGGGCGCAAGCCUGAUGCAGCCAUGCCGCGUGUAUGAAGAAGGCCUUCGGGUUGUAAAGUACUUUCAGUCGUGAGGAAGGCGGCGUCGUUAAUAGCGGCGUUGUUUGACGUUAGCGACAGAAGAAGCACCGGCUAACUCCGUGCCAGC
rnacentral:rRNA from 1 species